GUGCCAGCAGCCGCGGUAAUACGUAGGGUGCGAGCGUUAAUCGGAAUUACUGGGCGUAAAGUGUGCGCAGGCGGCUCCGCAAGUCGAGUGUGAAAUCCCCGAGCUUAACUUGGGAAUUGCGCUCGAAACUACGGAACUGGAGUGUGGCAGAGGAAGGUGGAAUUCCACGUGUAGCGGUGAAAUGCGUAGAGAUGUGGAGGAACACCGAUGGCGAAGGCAGCCUUCUGGGCCAACACUGACGCUCAUGCACGAAAGCGUGGGGAGCAAACAGGAUUAGAAACCCGAGUAGUCC
rnacentral:rRNA from 1 species